CGCAGCCGCGGUAAUUCCAGCUCCAAUAGCGUAUAUUAAAGUUGUUGCAGUUAAAAAGCUCGUAGUUGAACCUCGGGAUCAAUUGAUUGGUCAUGCCAUUGGUGUGUACUGGUCAUAUUGGUUCUCACCUUCUAAGGAACCUUAAUGUCAUUAAUUUGAUGUUUUGGGGAAUUAGGACUGUUACCUUGAAAAAUUAGAGUGUUUAAAGCAGGCUAACGCUUGAAUACAUUAGCAUGGAAUAAUGAAAUAGGACAUCGCAUUCUAUUUUGUUGGUUUCUAGGAUCGAUGUAAUGAUUAAUAGGGAUAGUUGGGGGCAUUAGUAUUCAAUUGUCAGAGGUGAAAUUCUUGGAUUUAUUGAAGACUAACUACUGCGAAAGCAUUUGCCAAGGAUGUUUUCAUUAAUCAAGAACGAAAGUUAGGGGAUCGAAGACAAUUAGAUACCGUCGUAGU
rnacentral:rRNA from 1 species